rnacentral:rRNA from 1 species
CACCGCCCGUCACACCAUGGGAGUUGAUUGCUCCAGAAGUGGCUGAGCUAACCCGCAAGGAAGGCAGGUCCCCAAGGAGUGAUUGGUAACUGGGGUG